rnacentral:rRNA from 1 species
UGAGUACGAGAUGCUACGGCAUCGAAGCAGUCUAUGUCAUACUUCCAAGAAAAGCUUGCACUGUCAGAAACAGAUAAUGCCUGUACCAUAACCGACACAGGUGGGUAGGUAGAGUAUACUAAGGGGCGCGAGAUAACUCUCUCUAAGGAACUCGGCAAAAUGACUCCGUAACUUCGGGAGAAGGAGUGCCUUAUUUUUAAGGUUGCAAUAACAAGAUCCAAGCAACUGUUUACCAAAAACACAGGUCUCCGCUAAGUCGUAAGACGAUGUAUGGGGGCUGACGCCUGCCCAGUGCCAGAAGGUUAAAGAAGUCGGUUAGCAUUCGCGAAGCUGGUAACUGAAGCCCUGGUGAACGGCGGCCGUAACGAUAACGGUCCUAAGGUAGCGAAAUUCCUUGUCGGGUAAGUUCCGACCCGCACGAAAGGCGUAAUGAUUUGGAUACUGUCUCGGAGAGGGGCUCGGUGAAAUAGACUUGUCUGUGAAGAUGCGGACUACCUGCACCUGGACAGAAAGACCCUAUGAAGCUUUACUGUAACUUGAAAUUGAAAUUGGACUUUAUUUGCGCAGUAUAGGUGGGAGGCGUUGAAAAUAUUCUUGCGGGAAUAUUGGAGCCAUCAGUGAGAUACCACUCUUGUAUGUUAGAUUUCUAACUUUAUAUCAUUAUCUGGUUAAAGAACAGUUUCAGGCGGGCAGUUUGACUGGGGCGGUCGCCUCCCAAAUGGUAACGGAGGCGCACAAAGGUUUCCUCUGAACGGAUAGAAAUCGUAUCUAGAGUGUAAAGGCAUAAGGAAGCUUGACUGUGAGACCUACAAGUCGAGCAGGGACGAAAGUCGGUCUUAGUGAUCUGACGGUGCUGAGUGGAAAGGCCGUCACUCAACGGAUAAAAGUUACUCUAGGAUAACAGGCUGAUCUCCCCCAAGAGUUCACAUCGACGGGGAGGUUUGGCACCUCGAUGUCGGCUCAUCGCAUCCUGGGGCGGUAGUACGUCCCAAGGGUUGGGCUGUUCGCCCAUGAAAGCGGUACGCGAGCUGGGUUCAGAACGUCGUGAGACAGUUCGGUCCAUAUCCGGUGUAGGCGUUAGAAUUUUGAGAGGAGCCUUCUUUAGUACGAGAGGACCGAGAAGGACAUACCUCUGGUGUACCAGUUAUCGUGCCAACGGUAAACGCUGGGUAGCUAUGUAUGGAGUGGAUAACCGCUGAAAGCAUCUAAGUGGGAAGCCCACCUCAAGAUAAGUAUUCUC